GAGCCUCCAUGGAGCUGCCAGAUCAGAUGUACUAAAUCUUUCCUGGUGUAAGCUAGCCAGGCAGCCGGGACAAACAAAGGGACCCUCUCUCCAUCAACAUUGACUAGCCAAGCAACUGCCAGGCCCACCAACUGGCCCUCAGUCUCAGCCACCAAGAAGCAGGAGCCAAGCUCACUCAGCCAGGUCUGUUUGCAAGCACAUAGCCACAAAUUUCUUCAAGGGCUGUCUGGCAAGGAGCCACAGUAAUAGGAACAGAAGGAAGAUGCUCAUAAUGGCCAGCAGUCAGGAACCAGACACUAGGACCAGGGCAAUGGGCACCCCAAGGAAGAUCAGGAGGGGUUCGGGGCAGCAUCAAUGCAUGAUGGAGGGCCGUGAGGAUGUUCUCUUCCAUGCCCCUGGAAAACACAUUUAGGACCUGUUUGUGGUCCCUCUCCUGGUACUGGCGGAUGUGGUAAGGAGCCAUGGGAAGAUUCUGGGUGUCAAAUUCGCAUCCACAAGGGACAGCAGACCUGCCAGCACACCUUCCCCGGACCCUGCAGAAGAGAAAGAAAACCAAGUAAAUCCACCAUCCCGAGGGAUGGUCCCUUGGACAAGAGAUUGACAGGCUUGAGAAGGACAAACAAGACUAUGAGCCAAUAUGGAGGAGGUGUCUUUGGCACAAAACCACCCACCAUUCAGAACCCAGCCUGCUCUGAGCCUCCAGCUUCAUUUGAGAAGAACCCAGAGGCUCAGAGGUUCUAUGGCCGCCUGCUGCCAGCCUCCUAAUUCACCCAGUCACAAUCUGUGCCUGCUCAGCAGCCUGGAGCUCUGCUGGCUCAAGGCCACUCCUGGCUUUGUCGUUCCCUUUCUCUGGCCUCACUGCAGCUCUGUUCAGUCACCAUGGAGAGCAAAGCAUGGCCUCCUGGGUCAGUCGUUUUGGGACAAACUUUAGAUGCAUCACGACUGCCUGUCCUAGAUGCCUUCCCUGCCCUCUGUACCAAGGCCAGCACUUUCCCCACCCUCCCACCUCUGUCCUAGAGACUGACCUUCUGUGUGUUUCUUUGGUACUGAAUAGCUGUGGGACCAGGAGGGACAGAGCGUCCAUCUACAAAUAAUGAUUACGAUAAUUGCCAGCUUGUUCCUUUACCUCAUUCCCUGUCUGUCCUUCAGCUUUCCUACCAGUAACCAUUGAAGGACCCUUCUUAACCAUGGAGGUAAACAACUGACAAUAGCUUCAGGAAGUCCCUGAAACCUAUGGGAUUCAUUCCUCCCACUCCCACCUGGAAAGAGUAAGCAAUAAAACUGCAAAAUAGACUCAAGCCAAGCCACAAAGAAAACUGAGACCAGGCUAGCACUUGAGAAAGAGCAGAAACCAGCAAGCUGCGUGGAAGAGAUUUACUACUUGUAAAGGACACUCUCCAACCUCUUGGAGAGCCUGUCUGCGAGUCAUUUCUGCUCCUGUAAGUGCUCCUCACCCAUAUAUAAAGCUCACAAUAAAAUACUCAUUAGUUCAUCGAGUUGGGCUUUGAUGCCUGUACUUCGUCCAUCAUGGACUCCAGCGCAAGUAACGUGUGUUGCAUCUCCCCAGGGAAAGUUUUCUCACACAACAAAUAAAUCCAAGAAAGAAACCUUCUCCCUGCCUCAACCAUUGGAAACAUGGUUUGGCACAGCACACGUGUACUUUGCCAUUGAGAGAUUAAAUUUCUCAUUUGGAUCUGGCCGACUUCAGUGUUUGCUAAAGGAUUGCUUGAGUCUCCCUAAGUAAAGCAAAAGUAAAAACAUUUGCCUUAGGAAUUAUAAAACAUGGAAUUGUAAAGCCUGUCCCAGUAGGGUUGUGAUCUUAGCGAUGGCAAAGCAUAAGGUAGUAAAACCUGUCACACUGGUAAUUAACACACGACACCGAAUGUGAACCUAAUCUUAGAUUGUAAAGGUGCUGCCUGUUCUAACUGGCUGGCCCUUAGUUAAACUCUUUUGUAAAUGUGCAGUUCCUCUCUUGUGACUUUUAUGUAUUGUACCCAGA